rfam:Heterocephalus glaber contig195924, whole genome shotgun sequence.
GGAUGUGAGGGGAUCUGGCUGCGACAUCUGUCACCCCACCGCCGACCUGGGUUGAUUGGGCGGAGCAGGCUGACUGGGCAGGUGUCCCCUUCCUCCCUCACCGCUCCUCGCGGGUCCCUCCCGAAGCUGCGCACUCGGUGGAAGAGGACGACCACCCCAUAGAGGAGGACCGUUUCCUCGGUCACGGGUGUCAUGGCUGCGCUCCCCUGCUAGAACCUCCAAAUGGCUCUCAAGAAGUUCAUGAGCAUAUACUCGUUAAUUCUAUUCAUUUUCACUUAAUGUAUCUUGAGCUACUUUAUUAGU